rfam:Lepisosteus oculatus linkage group LG15, whole genome shotgun sequence.
CCGAACUGCUGUGUGAUUUAGGUAGUUUCAUGUUGUUGGGCUGCAAGUUUAUAAUCACAGGAACCUGAAACUGCCUGAAUUACUCCAGUUAUU